rfam:Stegodyphus mimosarum contig8934, whole genome shotgun sequence.
GCCUUCGUGGUGUAGUGGUAGCAGAUUCGGCUUGUAUUCGAGAAGUCCAGAUUCUAGUCCCGGCGAGGGCA